GUGGGCUGUCGUCAGCUCGUGUCGUGAGAUGUUGGGGUUAAGUCCCGCAACGAGCGCAACCCUUGCCUUUAGUUGCCAGCAGUUCGGCUGGGCACUCUAAAGGGACUGCCGGUGUUAAACCGGAGGAAGGUGGGGAUGACGUCAAGUCCUCAUGGCCUUUAUGACCAGGGCUACACACGUACUACAAUGGCCGAUACAAAGGGCAGCGACACUGCGAAGUGAAGCCAAUCCCGUAAAAUCGGUCUCAGUCCGGAUUGGAGUCUGCAACUCGACUCCAUGAAGUUGGAAUCGCUAGUAAUCGUGGAUCAGCAUGCCACGGUGAAUACGUUCCCGGGCCUU
rnacentral:rRNA from 1 species